CUACGGAGGGUGCAAGCGUUGUUCGGAAUCACUGGGCGUAAAGGGCGCGCAGGCGGUUUGGUAAGUCAGAUGUGAAAGCCCACGGCUCAACCGUGGAAGUGCAUUUGAAACUGUCAGACUUGAGUACUAGAGGGGAAAGUGGAAUUCCCGGUGUAGAGGUGAAAUUCGUAGAUAUCGGGAGGAAUACCGGUGGCGAAGGCGACUUUCUGGCUAGAUACUGACGCUGAGGCGCGAAAGCGUGGGUAGCAAACGGGAUUAGAUACCCUAGUAGUCC
rnacentral:rRNA from 1 species